UACGGGGGGGGCAAGCGUUGUUCGGAAUUACUGGGCGUAAAGGGCCAGUAGGCGGCCAACUAAGUCCGACGUGAAAUCCCAAGGCUUAACCUUGGAACUGCGUCGGAUACUGGAUGGCUUGAAUUCGGGAGAGGGAUGCAGAAUUCCUGGUGUAGCGGUGGAAUGCGCAGAUAUCAGGAGGAACACCAACGGCGAAGGCAGCUCGCUGGGACGGUACUGACACUGAGGCGCGAAAGCGUGGGGAGCGAACAGG
rnacentral:rRNA from 1 species